rnacentral:rRNA from 1 species
UGAGGAAUAUUGGUCAAUGGGCGGAAGCCUGAACCAGCCAUCCCGCGUGAAGGAAGAAGGCCUUAUGGGUUGUAAACUUCCUUUCUGUUUGAAGAAUAAGCUUGUCGUGACAAGCGAUGCCGGUAGGACAGGAAUAAGCAUCGGCUAACUCCGUGCCAGCAGCCGCGGUAAUACGGAGGAUGCAAGCGUUAUCCGGAUUUAUUGGGUUUAAAGGGUGCGCAGGUGGUUUAAUAAGUCAGUGGUGAAAGUCUGCCGCUUAACGGUAGGAUUGCCAUUGAUACUGUUGGACUUGAAUAUGGAUGAGGUAGGCGGAAUGUGUAGUGUAGCGGUGAAAUGCUUAGAUAUUACACAGAACACCGAUUGCGAAGGCAGCUUACUAAUCCAUGAUUGACGCUGAGGCACGAAAGCGUGGGGAUCAAACAG